rnacentral:ncRNA from 1 species
GGGUUCAGAGGAUUAAGCUCUGGAGGUAUUAUCAGAUGGUCGGGCCGCCAUCU